rnacentral:rRNA from 1 species
GGAGCAAUCCGUGUGACUGCGUACCUUUUGUAUAAUGGGUCAGCGACUUAUAUUCUGUAGCAAGGUUAACCGAAUAGGGGAGCCGAAGGGAAACCGAGUCUUAACUGGGCGUUAAGUUGCAGGGUAUAGACCCGAAACCCGGUGAUCUAGCCAUGGGCAGGUUGAAGGUUGGGUAACACUAACUGGAGGACCGAACCGACUAAUGUUGAAAAAUUAGCGGAUGACUUGUGGCUGGGGGUGAAAGGCCAAUCAAACCGGGAGAUAGCUGGUUCUCCCCGAAAGCUAUUUAGGUAGCGCCUCGUGAACUCAUCUGCGGGGGUAGAGCACUGUUUCGGCAAGGGGGUCAUCCCGACUUACCAACCCGAUGCAAACUGCGAAUACCGGAGAAUGUUAUCACGGGAGACACACGGCGGGUGCUAACGUCCGUCGUGAAGAGGGAAACAACCCAGACCGCCAGCUAAGGUCCCAAAGUCAUGGUUAAGUGGGAAACGAUGUGGGAAGGCCCAGACAGCCAGGAUGUUGGCUUAGAAGCAGCCAUCAUUUAAAGAAAGCGUAAUAGCUCACUGGUCGAGUCGGCCUGCG